rnacentral:rRNA from 1 species
CAAGUCGAACGAGCUUUGAUUUUUUGAAUGACGAUGCUGAGUGGCGGACGGGUGAGUAACGCGUGAGCACCUGCCCUUCGGAACGGGAUAGUGUCUGGAAACGGACAGUAAUACCGUAUAACAUCGCAUGGUCAAAACUGAGGUGCCGAAGGAUGGGCUCGCGUCUGAUUAGAUAGUUGGUGAGGUAAUGGCCCACCAAGGCGACGAUCGGUAGCCGGACUGAGAGGUUGAACGGCCACAUUGGGACUGAGACACGGCCCAGACUCCUACGGGAGGCAGCAGUGGGGAAUAUUGCACAAUGGGGGAAACCCUGAUGCAGCGACGCCGCGUGGAGGAAGAAGGUCUUCGGAUUGUAAACUCCUGUUGUUGAGGAAGAUAAUGACGGUACUCAACAAGGAAGUGAUGGCUAACUACGUGCCAGCAGCCGCGGUAAAACGUAGGUCACAAGCGUUGUCCGGAAUUACUGGGUGUAAAGGGAGCGCAGGCGGGAAGACAAGUUGGAAGUGAAAUCCAUGGGCUCAACCCAUGAACUGCUUUCAAAACUGUUUUUCUUGAGUAGUGCAGAGGUAGGCGGAAUUCCCGGUGUAGCGGUGGAAUGCGUAGAUAUCGGGAGGAACACCAGUGGCGAAGGCGGCCUACUGGGCACCAACUGACGCUGAGGCUCGAAAGUGUGGGUAGCAAACAGGAUUAGAUACCCUGGUAGUCCACACUGUAAACGAUGAUUACUAGGUGU